rnacentral:sRNA from 1 species
CGUUGGCUCCAGACAAAUAAACAUGGAGUCCAUCUUCCACGAGAAACAGCCUUCUGGAAAUAUGGAUGACAGUGGUUUUUUCUCUAUUCAGGUUAUAAGCAAUGCCUUGAAAGUUUGGGGUUUAGAACUAAUCCUGUUCAACAGUCCAGAGUAUCAGAGGCUCAGGAUCGAUCCUAUAAAUGAAAGAUCAUUUAUAUGCAAUUAUAAGGAACACUGGUUUACAGUUAGAAAAUUAGGAAAACAGUGGUUUAACUUGAAUUCUCUCUUGACGGGUCCAGAAUUAAUAUCAGAUACAUAUCUUGCACUUUUCUUGGCUCAAUUACAACAGGAAGGUUAUUCUAUAUUUGUUGUUAAGGGUGAUCUGCCAGAUUGCGAAGCUGACCAACUCCUGCAGAUGAUUAGGGUCCAACAGAUGCAUCGACCAAAACUUAUUGGAGAAGAAUUAGCACAACUAAAAGAGCAAAGAGUCCAUAAAACAGACCUGGAACGAGUGUUAGAAGCAAACGAUGGCUCAGGAAUGUUAGACGAAGAUGAGGAGGAUUUGCAGAGGGCUCUGGCACUAAGUCGCCAAGAAAUUGACAUGGAAGAUGAGGAAGCAGAUCUCCGCAGGGCUAUUCAGCUAAGUAUGCAAGGUAGUUCCAGAAACAUAUCUCAAGAUAUUCCACAGACAUCAGGUACAAAUCUUACUUCAGAAGAGCUUCGGAAGAGACGAGAAGCCUACUUUGAAAAGUAAAGUAGUUGACAGCAGCAAAAGCAGCAACAGCAGCAGCAGCAGCAGCAGCAGCAGCAGCAGCAGGGGGACCUAUCAGGACAGAGUUCACAUCCAUGUGAAAGGCCAGCCACCAGUUCAGGAGCACUUGGGAGUGAUC